GGGAGGUGGCGCCACAGCCCGUCGCAGCGCCGGCCGCCCGCCUUUCCCAGCCAGACUCCAAUCGCGCCAGCGCGGGGGAGCGAGUGAGCCCCGCCCGGCCGCGGCCUGGACCCGGCAGCAGGGCUUCGCGGGCGCUCUGAGCUGUGGUCCGUAACGGCCUCAGAACCCCGUUCGCGGAUCUCUGCGCACACGGAGGGUGCUGGGGACCCCGACACCUGCGCGCCCUCGACUGGGGCCUGCUCCAGCCGUGAGGAUCCAGGCCCUUCGUUGGGCCGUGGCUGCUCUUGGUGCCUCAUGGGAGCUCCAGGGCCUUCGGCAGCGGACAAAGAAGAGCUGGUGUAGGCCGAACCAAGACGACCUGUCAGCUAAUGCUGUGAAAUGGACAAUUGAAGUUCGUGGUCUGGCUCCAGGAAGAGUUUAGGGCAUGUGUUAGGCGGCAAUCGGGCAAGCAAGGGCUGUAGUUCAACCCUUCCUUCGGUGGGAAAAUUCAUGUUAGGAUGCAAUGCGAGGCCUCUUAAAUCGUUAAGAUCCUCUGGUCAGCUGGAAGAGUCUUUAGUAAUUCGUUGUUUUAUCUUGAGACCAUUAUUGGCCCCUAACCACCUAAUUAUUUAAUGGCAGCCCUCUGGGUAUAUCGGGUAUACUGAUAGGCGUUAUCUAGUAUUCAAACACGUGUUUCUGGAGGAAACUAUUGUCUGACCUCCCUCCACCCCGCCGCCCACUGUCAUUUAUUUUAUUAAAUGGAACGUAUUUAAAAUUCAAUUGUAUAAUUAUUUUAUUAAAAAGCAGUCCUAUUACAUAUUUUUGAAGA